rnacentral:rRNA from 1 species
AACGAACGCUGGCGGCAUGCCUAACACAUGCAAGUCGAACGGCAGCACGGACUUCGGUCUGGUGGCGAGUGGCGAACGGGUGAGUAAUAUAUCGGAACAUACCCUAGAGUGGGGGAUAACGUAGCGAAAGUUACGCUAAUACCGCAUACGAACUAAGGUUGAAAGCGGGGGAUCUUCGGACCUCGUGCUCAUGGAGUGGCCGAUAUCUGAUUAGCUAGUUGGUGAGGUAAAGGCUCACCAAGGCGACGAUCAGUAGCUGGUUUGAGAGAACGACCAGCCACACUGGAACUGAGACACGGUCCAGACUCCUACGGGAGGCAGCAGUGGGAAUUUGGACAAUGGGCGCAAGCCUGAUCCAGCAAUGCCGCGUGAGUGAAGAA